UACUUUUUCUCCCCAUUUUUGAAUUCAGUCCUAGUUUCUCUAUCCUAAAUUCCUACGCCUCUCGCCUUCAUCCCGCAUUCUCACCUCUGCCGCCGUCUGCGCUCCCUUUGUAGCCCCUGCCGCUAUCUUACACUCUCGCCUCUGCCGGGCGCCGCCUCAGCGUCGCGUCGGCAGCCGGAGAUUCCGAAACCGAACAGUCAUCGUUCACCUUCUUCUCCGAAGAUCCGAAAUCCGCUGGCGGCAUGCAUAGUGGAAUAGUGAGCUUUCAACUAUUGAAGUAAUCCCAAAACCAAACAUCUCAUCCGCUCCGAGCCUCCGAAGAUUCCAUCUCGGAAUUAAGAGAUGUCUCAAAACUUUCUGUUGGAUGCAGCCAAAAAGUAUUUCACUGCAGGCAUAGUUGGCCUCACGAUUUCCGACCGAUAUGCUAGUUUUACAGCUGUUCGUGGUCCAUCCAUGUCUCCGACUUUCAAUCCCCAUAUUAACAGCUCGACCAGAUCUUCAUUUGAUGACUACGUAUUGGUUGAGAAAUUCUGCCUUGACAAGUACAAGUUCUCACGUGGCGAUGUCGUAAUUUUUCGUUCCCCAAGUGAUUAUAAGGAGAAACACAUAAAAAGAAUCGUUGGCUUGCCAGGUGACUGGAUUGAUCUCCCUUCACUUGAUGACACUGUGAGGAUUCCUGUAGGGCAUUGUUGGGUUGUUGGGGAUAACUCAGCUUGUAGCCUUGACUCCAGAUCUUUUGGCCCGAUUCCUCUCGGUUUGAUUUGUGGGCGCGUGACGCAUAUUAUCUGGCCACCUCACAGAAUUGGUGGAGUUAACAAGAAAACCAAUGCGUUUGCCUGAUGGGAGUUUAUGUUUCGGAAUAACGUGACACUAAUUUUCUCUUUAAGUUGUUUAUUUUAGAAGAGAGCCAUUGCCGACUCAACCUGCUACGAGCAAGAAAGAGUCGGUGAAUGCUGCAUCUUCUUAAGGCAAUUCAGUUACUUGAAUCUCACCCUUCCCCAUUAGCACCACAACCCUGAUUUUGUGGCUGUGCAAGUUAGAAGGCAUAGCUGGUGUAUUUGGUGGCUCCCUAUUCAGUGCUAUGCAUGGUUCCUUGAUAACUUCUAGUUUGAUCAGGGAAACUACAGAAAAAGAAUCAGCUAAUGAAGAUUGUAGAUUCGGACAAGAGGAAGAAACUUGGGUAUAGAGAUGAAAAUAUAUACUACCGCUACAAACAACAAGCAAGAGCUUUCAAUUCGAUCAGACAGUUCUAUCUUAGAGUUAUAAAUACUUUAUUUUGUUUAUAUUAUGUUUAUAUUGUGAAAUGUGCCCUUACUACUUACACUUUACACUAAAAAAAUCUUCAAUUGAAAUAAAGCUCCUCAAGGAUAGAAACCUCAUGUUUUACCGGA